rnacentral:rRNA from 1 species
UGGUGGAGUGAUUUGUCUGCUUAAUUGCGAUAACGAACGAGACCUUAACCUGCUAAAUAGCCCGUAUUACUUUGGUAGUACGCUGGCUUCUUAGAGGGACUAUCGGCUCAAGCCGAUGGAAGUUUGAGGCAAUAACA